CCUACGGGAGGCAGCAGUGGGGAAUUUUGGACAAUGGGGGCAACCCGUGAUCCAGCAAUGCCGCGUGAGUGAAGAAGGCCUUCGGGUUGUAAAGCUCUUUUGUCAGGGAAGAAACGGUAGUAGCGAAUAACUAUUACUAAUGACGGUACCUGAAGAAUAAGCACCGGCUAACUACGUGCCAGCAGCCGCGGUAAUACGUAGGGUGCAAGCGUUAAUCGGAAUUACUGGGCGUAAAGCGUGCGCAGGCGGUUGUGUAAGUCAGAUGUGAAAUCCCCGGGCUCAACCUGGGAAUUGCAUUUGAGACUGCACGGCUAGAGUGUGUCAGAGGGGGGUAGAAUUCCACGUGUAGCAGUGAAAUGCGUAGAUAUGUGGAGGAAUACCGAUGGCGAAGGCAGCCCCCUGGGAUAACACUGACGCUCAUGCACGAAAGCGUGGGGAGCAAACAGGAUUAGAUACCCUGUAGUCCACGCCCUAAACGAUGUCUACUAGUUGUCGGGUCUUAAUUGUACUAGUACGUCAGCUACGCGUGAGUAGACGCCGUCGGGAGGUACGGUCGCGAGAAGUAAACGUAACGAAGAAGUAGUACGCGUGAGACGAGCGACGGACGACGACGAGGGAGGAGG
rnacentral:rRNA from 1 species